rnacentral:rRNA from 1 species
GACGAACCGUGCGAACGUUAUUCGGAAUCACUGGGCUUAAAGCGCGUGUAGGCGGGAGGGCACGUCCGUCGCUGAAAUCCCCCGGCUCAACCGGGAACGGGCGCGGAUACGACCUCCUUGAGGGGCGUAGGGGGACCUGGAACUUCCGGUGGAGCGGUGAAAUGCGUUGAGAUCGGAAGGAACGCCCGUGGCGAAAGCGAGGUCCUGGACGCCUACUGACGCUGAGACGCGAAAGCCAGGGGAGCGAACGGG